CAAGCACCUUGAAGGUUAUAUGGAUGGCUUCCUAAAAUUAUCUUUCCUUUUGGUUUUGAGCCAAAUCUUCCAAAUUUUUCCCUCCCACGUUGAAAAGGUAACAAAUGUGAAAGGAGGGAAAUUAGGGGGAAAUUGAAGGACAAAAAAAUCAAAGUUCAUGAAGAUUUUACAUGCCUUCAGGGUUUUUCUUAAGUAUACCCAGUUUUAUAUUAUUUCUAAGAUUUCACGGCUAUGGAAGGUGGAGUUGCCCGCCUAAACAACUACAUGCAAGCCUAAGGUCAUCACUCUUUUACCAUUGAAUGCCCAUCAAAGAUUUCGAAUCUAAGAGAUCUAAAGAUCCAUGCAUGAAAAGAGAAAUCCCAAAGCUUCAUAUAGGAGCAAGCACAAGGAGUUCCAGCCAAUGACUUAAGAAGAGGUUUAAUCGGCCAUAGACUUCACCUACCAACACCGGCAGAUACAACAAAGCUUAUUCACACCGGCAUCCAGUUUACACGGGCAAUAGAUUGUACCGGCAUUCCAGGCUGACUUGGCAAUAGUAUUGUUUAUGCGAAAUAAAUUGUAAAGUAAAUUAUAAUUGUAUGGUCGACAUGUUGUAUUGUAAAGACUCAUAUAUUUAUGAGCUCUUGUAGGUCAUUUGAAAGGUAUGAAAGCAGUAAUAUGAGAUAAGAUAGGAUAUGAUAGCGAAUAGUUGUAUAUGCAUUUUGAUGUGUUUAUUUUAGAGCGAAUAAGAAGAAAAGCAGAGCAAAGACUAUUAUGUAUAAGAAGAAUCAUUUGACAGCAUACCGGCUAGGAUUUUUGGCAGAGGCAGAACCGGUAUCAAACAUAGCAUAAUAGUGAACUCAUCCAGCAUUUUGAUGCAAGUUGUAAGAGUUCAUUUUAUGUUUACUUCAGUGUGAUGUUGUAGUCAGUGUGACUCCAUUUUUGUUGUUGAGUAGUGAGCUCUUGGUAGUUGGCCUUCAUGCAUGUGCAGGCCCUUUUUUGUACUAUGUAAUAUUUAUUCAUAUGGCCAAUGAGUAAAUAUUGUGGGUCACAAAUCCCAUCGAGGUUUUUCCCUUA